CAGGAGAGGAUGGACAGAAGAGUAUAUGGUAGAAAGAAACAUACCGUGUACUCAAUCAAGAAAACUUGGAGAUCCCACCAAGAUCAGCCACACGUAAUUCACCCACUAGAUAUGACUUAAUACCCUUUGGGUGUGGUAACACAGAGGAGGAAUCUGCAACUGCCCAGUACACAGAGGGCAAGGAGAGAGGGAAGACAGAGGCAGGC